rnacentral:rRNA from 1 species
UACGAAGGGGGCUAGCGUUGUUCGGAAUUACUGGGCGUAAAGGGCGCGUAGGCGGCCGUUUAAGUUAGGUGUGAAAGUCCUGGGCUCAACCUGGGGACUGCACUUAAUACUGAAUGGCUUGAAUUCGGGAGAGGAUAGCGGAAUUCCCAGUGUAGAGGUGAAAUUCGUAGAUAUUGGGAAGAACACCGGUGGCGAAGGCGGCUAUCUGGACCGACAUUGACGCUGAGGCGCGAAAGCGUGGGGAGCAAACAGG